GAUGAACGCUGGCGGCGUGCCUAAUACAUGCAAGUCGAGCGAACAGACGAGGAGCUUGCUUCUUCGACGUUAGCGGCGGACGGGUGAGUAACACGUAGGUAACCUACCUAUAAGACUGGGAUAACUUCGGGAAACCGGAGCUAAUACCGGAUAAUAUUUCGAACCGCAUGGUUCGAUAGUGAAAGAUGGCUUUGCUAUCACUUAUAGAUGGACCUGCGCCGUAUUAGCUAGUUGGUAAGGUAACGGCUUACCAAGGCAACGAUACGUAGCCGACCUGAGAGGAUGAUCGGCCACACUGGAACUGAGACACGGUCCAGACUCCUACGGGAGGCAGCAGUAGGGAAUCUUCCGCAAUGGGCGAAAGCCUGACGGAGCAACGCCGCGUGAGUGAUGAAGGUCUUCGGAUCGUAAAACUCUGUUAUUAGGGAAGAACAAACGUGUAAGUAACUGUGCACGUCUUGACGGUACCUAAUCAGAAAGCCACGGCUAACUACGUG
rnacentral:rRNA from 1 species